UCAGACCGGAGAAAUCCAGGUCAGUUUCUAUCUAUACUUGAACUUCUUCUAGUACGAAAGGACCGAAGAAGCGUGGCCCAUACUAACGCAAGCCACAGUCACCUAAUUAUGACUUAGACUUAAUAAUAUAGUGACCUAAAAUACUUUUCUAAACAAGAACCG
rnacentral:rRNA from 1 species